rnacentral:rRNA from 1 species
UACGGAGGGUGCAAGCGUUAUCCGGAUUCACUGGGUUUAAAGGGUGCGUAGGCGGGUAAGUAAGUCCGUGGUGAAAUCUCUGAGCUUAACUCAGAAACUGCCGUGGAUACUAUUUGCCUUGAAUAUUGUGGAGGUGAGCGGAAUAUGUCAUGUAGCGGUGAAAUGCUUAGAUAUGACAUAGAACACCAAUUGCGAAGGCAGCUAACUACGCGAUCAUUGACGCUGAUGCACGAAAGCGUGGGGAGCGAACAGG